rnacentral:rRNA from 1 species
AGGAUCAUUUGCAAUGGGCGAAAGCCUGACAAUGCGACGCUGCGUGGAGGAUGAAGGCCUUCGGGUUGUAAACUCCUGUCAUGGGGGAACAGGCGAGGGGAGUUAAUACCUCCCUUAGUUGAGUGUACCCCAAGAGGAAUUGGCGGCUAACUCUGUGCCAGCAGCCGCGGUAAUACAGAGGCCAAGAGCGUUGUUCGGAUUUACUGGGCGUAAAGGGCGCGUAGGCGGCAUGGCGUGUCAAGUGUGAAAUCUCCGGGCCCAACCCGGAAAGUGCGCUUGAAACUACCAUGCUUGGAGUCCGGGAGGGGGAAUCGGAAUACAGGGUGUAGCGGUGAAAUGCGUUGAUAUCCUGUAGAACACCGGAGGCGAAGGCGGAUUCCUUGAACGGUACUGACGCUGAGGCGCGAAAGUCGGGGGAGCAAACA